UACGAAGGGGGCUAGCGUUGUUCGGAUUUACUGGGCGUAAAGCGCACGUAGGCGGUUUGUUAAGUCAGGGGUGAAAUCCCGGAGCUCAACUCCGGAACUGCCUUUGAUACUGGCAAGCUAGAGUCCGGAAGAGGUAAGUGGAACUCCUAGUGUAGAGGUGGAAUUCGUAGAUAUUAGGAAGAACACCAGUGGCGAAGGCGGCUACUGGUCCGGAACUGACGCUGAGGUGCGAAAGCGUGGGGAGCAAACAGGAUUAGAACCGUACCU
rnacentral:rRNA from 1 species